UAAUUACAGUAUGCAGCCGUUUUUUACAAUCACUAAUAGCUUCUUUAAUGUUUUUGAUGCUUAACGAAUCAACUGCCAAAAUGUCAAACAUAAUGAUUCGUUCGUAUACAUUAAACACGUGUCCAUAUUCUUCUUUGAUUUUCGUUAGUAGGUUAUUCUCAGGUUGUUGACAUAUUUUUUGGCCACUGUGACUUGCUACUAUUAACACAGGUAUUAAAUGACUCGAAACACCAUUUUUAACUACAAUAAAAAUGAUUAAAAAUUAAUUCAUGGCAUGAAUAGUAUCAAGUUAAGUUUAAUUAUGCAUCUAACACACAUAUAUAUCCUGGAAUAUGAAGUCUAGCUUGUACAAAACUCAGCCAAAAUUGUAUGAUUUUCAAACUAAUUGCUAAUGAUUGUUGCUGAUUAUAAACAAUUACAAUUAUUUUGUUAGGUGUGUUUUGUAUAACAUGAUGGUAAGAAUUAUAAUACGUGUCUUCACCAGAAAAAUCCCAAAAUGUGCAAUCACCAAUGCCUGAUAACUUUUCCUUAAAAAUAAAUAUAUAAUAUUAGUAAUACAUUAUUUUUUAAUCAGAAACAAAGUGAGAUGAGGAAAAAAUUGAUAACCUUCAGGAAAGUACUUUGACAUGUUAUAUAUAGCCUGGCAGCUGGCUGCGGAAAAUGGUGAAUAAAAAAAACAGAAGAGGCUAUAACAACAACCCAAUAUGAGAGAGUUUAUUUGAUGCAUGCAAAUAGAAUGAUUGUAGUAUGAAUAUGUGGAGAUUUAUGGGCAUAUAAUCAAAAAGGAAUAACAAACUAAGUCAUUAGAAGGACGUCUAGAGUGGGCUUAAGGCAGAGAUGGCGGAUUGGAGUAAACUCGAAGUAACAUGCACAUAAAGCCGUCGGUGCUGAUCAAAGAUUUGACAGCGUUUUCGUCUUCACCAUCCUCUAAAAGUUGGAGCAAAGACAUUUUGGAGCUGACAAAUUAUUUUACAUCCAUCUAAUUUCGAGCCAAUCCUAAGCCCCGUGGCUAUGAACUCUACUUAGUGCACUGUUAUCAACGCUGUUACUUGUUCCAAAAAUGAAAUGAUAACACCUAACUUUCCAAGAUGUUGAUAUUAUUCCAGCGAAAUAUGGAUGUCGGUCUCGGUACACGUUAAUUUUGUUAAAAAAAAAAAAUUACUAAUAUUUACUCGGCAUUUAUAAGUUAUAUGGAUGGCCAAA